CCCGCCGCUCCCUCUCCCAACUCUCUUCUCCCUCCCCCUUUCUUCUUCCUUCCUUCAUCGUUCUUUUCUUCCUCCUCCAAUUUAUGUAUGCAUGUAAAGGCAAGUGAUGUACGCUUCUGAGUGGAAUGCUCGAUUCGAUUCUUUUGAUUAGAGUAUGAUGACGCUCAUCUGAAUAGGAAGAUCUGAUGCCUAUGCAACUUUCUUUAUAAUCAUUCUAUUUGUUCGUAUCCUUGUUUUGUCCGGAAUGCUUUGUUUCUCCAUUUUUACGAUAAUGGAGGCAAUCGAUGCUAGCUAUUUCGAAGCCAAUGAUGCUAACUUUGAUCGAAUCUGAAAAUCACAACUCUUGUAUUAUAUGUUGAUUGCAUUUGAACUAGGACGGACUGAGGCUUCGGUUUUGUGGUUGUUUAGGUUUUCACUUUAAUUGUUCCUCUUUACCAUCUGUAUGUAGCCUUGGUUAGGUACUUGUGGAUUCUGAAUAUUGUUUGUUUGCUUUAUGGUGUGUAGAUGUCAUCCUGGAGUGAUGAGAUCAACAAAUUACAGUUAUCCCUGUCUGAUUAACUGUGUUGAAAAGUUGUGAUCUGACAAGGAAUCCAUCAUUGUUGUACCCAUGGUUAUUUUGAUAGCUUAACCUUGUUUCAAAGGUUGAAGUUAUUCUGCUGGAGCCUGAAUAAUUUCUGAGUAACCAAAUUAAAGUUCUUGGAUAUUUUUUGGAGAUUAUGUUUUCAUAUGGAGAUGGAUGUGUGGCCCCACUUACGUUCGAUUCCUUUAUUUUCAAUCGACAUUUUGUUCUGAAGGUAUCCGUAAUGGUGAGUUAAUUGAUCAUAUGUUUAUUCUUGUUUGUCCUAAUAGAUAUUCCCUCCGUCCCAAUAUGAUAGUCUUGUUUACUAUUUUUGUCCGUCCCAAAACAAUAGUCUUGUUUCCACGAAUAAUUAUAUCAUUGUAAAACUACUUCUACUUUUUCAUUUUUAUUACAUAAUUGUUAUUACGUUUUACACUAAUACACUCACAAGGGCAAAAAUGUCUUUUAUUCAUAUUUUUUACCAAUUAUUCAUAUAAUAUCAAUAUUUUUUAAAUCUCUUGUCUAACUCAAUUAAGAAUAUAUUUAUGGGACGGAGGGAGUAUUUGAUUGGUAUAUUCCUUGCAUUUCAUCUUAGGGUUUUUAAAAUAUUGCACCGCAUUGGGUUUUAUAGGUUAUAUAAAGUUGGACAUGUUAAGGACGACUAUGAUCUUCUUUCAAUUGACAUCCUAAAAUAUAUAUUUUUUAUUUUA